rnacentral:sRNA from 1 species
AUGCAGCACUCGCACACUCUGGUUCCUGCGCGCCGUCCGCGCCCACCUGAAGCUGCUCGCUACGUUUUGUUAGCC